AUGAUGAAAACAGAUAAGAAGGAACUGUUUCAAGGCGCUCCAAAAGGCGGACCCUCUGUGGCCCUGGAGCCGUACUCGGAGGACGCGAGAAGACGUAGAGAAAGAAAUGUUCGAUGUGCUGAAGGAUUCAAAUUUGUUGCGCAGUAUCUGGAACAGAUAAACAUGAAACAGUCACAUGGCGGAUCUCGGAGCACAACGACGACGGCUGUGAAUCGCCGGAUCGGCUUUUACCAUGGACAAAGCGGAUUCCAGCCCGGGGUUGUCACAUGUGGUUGCCCGUCGGCCACUCCUUUGUCAAAUACACUGGCCGCGCCAUUCUCAAGCACGCCGGCCGUUCGUCAGUUCCAACUUUGCAAGGACAGUCUUGCACUUCUGACUCAAAGUCUGUAAGUAUGUUUUUUAUAUUUAACAAAUUUACCACUGAUGAUUCAAACGCGAGUUUUGAUCAGUGUAGAGUAGCGCUUGUUGUUUGUCAUUUCUCCAGACAUGGUUUUAUGUUCACACAGCGCGAUACACAACAUAAUGCGUAAAAAGACAGUAUAAGUCAUUAUAAUCAGUAAUUAUGUCCCCACUGGGUGCAACAAAUGCCUUGUUUAUAAUGGGUUUUAUUGUUUUUGUCUUGUUGUGCACAGGGCUUAUGUAAUGCAAGUAUGUUAAGGGGCACAACAUUUCCGUCACGCGCUUGAGGUAUUCAGCCAAUCACAAUGCACUGUAUAGCUGGCCAAUCAGCCCACUUGCACUGCUUGUCACAUGUUUAGUGUAGCUUUCUCUGUCAGCGGCGAGGGAUUCACAUGUGAUAAAUGCAGGGAUAUAGUUAGGCUGCUAUUACUACUAGCUCAGCGAGUCCCAUACGUGUUUGGUUCCGGUUGCAGAGCCCCCACAUCACGGCGACUGGGUGACUGUGAGACAGCAUAGUCACGGGUCAAAACACUGCUCUUACUUUCUGAUUAAACAGGUUCUCCCCACUCAGUGACGCACCCACUGAGACACCUGUUGAAAGAGCCCUAGUUAUUGGCUAUUCUAUUGUAUGGAAAAUGAAAAUAGAGAUACCAGCCACCAUAGUCCUAUGUUUACCAGGAGCCAAAGCGCCUGACAUCUUGGCAAAUUUGAAAGUGCUGGCUAAUGCUAAAUGUAAAUUCAGUAAGAUUAUUAUUCACAUCGGCACUAAUUAUGUCCGACUUCGCCAGUCGGAGAUCACUACAAAUAACAUUAAAGAGGUGUGUGAACUUGCAAGUACGAUGUCAGACACUGUAAUAUGCUCUGGUCCCCUCCCUGCUUAACGUGGUGAUGAGAUACAUAGCAGACUGUCAUCACUCAAUGGCUGGAUGUCUAAGUGGUGCCCGCAGAAUAACAUUAGACAAUUUUUUGGGGCAGAACUGACCUGUUGAAAAGAGGUGCUGUUCUUCUCUCUAGAAAUAUGGCACAUAGUCUUAGAGUUUGCACUUGACUAACUGGGGCCCAGGUCAGGAAGCAGACAGACUGGCUAAACUGACCGUCUGCUAGCCGCCUCACAUCACAGAAGUCAGUUAAUUCUCAGCACAUAGAGACACUUUCACCUAGAUAUCAUACUUUGGAGACUGUGUCUGUUCCCUGAACAGGCAAAUACAAAAAAUGUCCAAAACAACUUAAGUGUAACAAUUGAAUUGAUGUUCAACAAAUUGAUGAUACAAAUG
rnacentral:lncRNA from 1 species